AGAUUGAACGCUGGCGGCAGGCCUAACACAUGCAAGUCGAGCGGCAGCACGGGUACUUGUACCUGGUGGCGAGCGGCGGACGGGUGAGUAAUGCCUAGGAAUCUGCCUGGUAGUGGGGGAUAACGCUCGGAAACGGACGCUAAUACCGCAUACGUCCUACGGGAGAAAGCAGGGGACCUUCGGGCCUUGCGCUAUCAGAUGAGCCUAGGUCGGAUUAGCUAGUUGGUGAGGUAAUCGGCUACCCCGAAGGCGACGAUCCGUAACUGGUCUGAGAGGAUGAUCAGUCACACUGGAGUCUGAGACACGGUCCAAGACCUACCCGUACGGGAGGCAAGGCUAAGGUCGGGGAAAUUACGUU
rnacentral:rRNA from 1 species